rnacentral:rRNA from 1 species
GAUGAACGCUGGCGGCGUGCUUAACACAUGCAAGUCGAACGGGAAACCUUUUAUUGAAGCUUCGGCAGAUUUAGCUGGUUUCUAGUGGCGGACGGGUGAGUAACGCGUGGGUAACCUGCCUUAUACAGGGGGAUAACAACCAGAAAUGGUUGCUAAUACCGCAUAAGCGCACAGGACCGCAUGGUCCGGUGUGAAAAACUCCGGUGGUAUAAGAUGGACCCGCGUUGGAUUAGCUAGUUGGCAGGGUAACGGCCUACCAAGGCGACGAUCCAUAGCCGGCCUGAGAGGGUGAACGGCCACAUUGGGACUGAGACACGGCCCAGACUCCUACGGGAGGCAGCAGUGGGGAAUAUUACACAAUGGGGGAAACCCUGAUGCAGCGACGCCGCGUGAAGGAAGAAGUAUCUCGGUAUGUAAACUUCUAUCAGCAAGGAAGAUAGUGACGGUACCUGACUAAGAAGCCCCGGCUAACUACGUG